rnacentral:rRNA from 1 species
CCUACGGGUGGCAGCAGUGGGGAAUAUUGCGCAAUGGGCGAAAGCCUGACGCAGCGACGCCGCGUGAGGGAUGAAGGUCUUCGGAUCGUAAACCUCUGUCAGCAGGGAAGAACGGUCACUGUGCUAAUCAGCAGUGAAUUGACGGUACCUGCAAAGGAAGCACCGGCUAACUCCGUGCCAGCAGCCGCGGUAAUACGGAGGGUGCGAGCGUUAAUCGGAAUUACUGGGCGUAAAGCGCUCGUAGGCGGGAGGUCAAGUCAAGGGUGAAAUCCCCGCGCUCAACGUGGGAACUGCCGUUGAAACUGGCAAACUGGAGUGUGUGAGAGGAUAGUGGAAUUCCAGGUGUAGGAGUGAAAGCCGUAGAUAUCUGGAGGAACAUCAGUGGCGAAGGCGACUAUCUGGCACAUAACUGACGCUGAGGAGCGAAAGCGUGGGUAGCAAACAGGAUUAGAUACCCGAGUAGUC